UUCCUGAUGGCUCAGCGGGUAAAGAAUCUGCUUGCAACGCAGGAGACCCAGGUUCGAUCCCUGGGUUGGGGUG
rnacentral:tRNA from 1 species